rnacentral:piRNA from 1 species
UUCUUGGACACCAGACACAAGAAGCCA